UGGUGAUCUUUAUUUUGCUGCACCUUGCUGCCUCCUGGAUCGUUUGAAAAAUGAAAAAGAACCAAUGGUGUUGAAACUUAAGGACUGGCCACCAGGAGAAGAUUUUAGAGAUAUGAUGCCUUCCAGGUUUGAUGAUCUGAUGGCCAACAUUCCACUGCCCGAGUACACCAGGCGAGAUGGCAAACUGAACUUGGCCUCUAGGCUGCCAAACUACUUUGUUCGGCCAGAUCUGGGUCCCAAGAUGUAUAAUGCUUAUGGAUUAAUCACUCCUGAAGAUCGGAAAUAUGGAACAACAAAUCUUCACUUAGAUGUAUCUGAUGCAGCUAAUGUCAUGGUCUAUGUGGGAAUUCCCAAAGGACAGUGUGAGCAAGAAGAAGAAGUCCUUAAGACCAUCCAAGAUGGAGAUUCUGACGAACUCACAAUAAAGCGAUUUAUUGAAGGAAAAGAG
rnacentral:sRNA from 1 species